CACGGGCAGUUUGAGUUGAUUCGCUCUUUAUUGAUGGAGCUUGGGUCAAAUUACUGUCCGAAAAUGAUAGAGAAGAAGAUCUAAUCAAUUUGAAUUGUCUUCCUUAUGAAGAUGAUUUAUCAAUAGUCUCUUCCCACACUU
rnacentral:snoRNA from 14 species